AUGCUAUUUUAUCUUCUGGAGAAAGCUCAGAAUGAGGUCCUGAAUGCCUGCUUGAUUCUCCCGUGUGACCAAGUGACCACACCACUCUCUGCCUUUGCCUCCUCCUUACCGAACAGCAACGCUGACAGCACUAUCUUACCAGAAUCCAGGAAGCCCACAACAAUGCCAGUCUGCUUGCCUGAAGAGUGCAGUGCUCAUUCCUGGAGGGCUGAGGCACUGCAGGGCCAUGGCAAAAAGGGUCUCAGCGGCAAAGACAGGUGGCCUUCUGAGCUGGAGUCAGAGGAGCUCUUCCUUCCUGGAGGUCAGAUGGAACCCCAUAUCGAGUGCCUGCAGGAAAGUGUUGGAGCCCCAAGUCCUGGAGGAUGGAUGGUAAAGUCUCCUGCAGAUGUGGUCACCCACAGAUCACCUGCAGCUGUGCCUGCGCUCAGGGCUUCAGGGAUCCUGAGGCUGUGCUCAAAGGCCCACGUGCACUGUCCGUGCCCUGCACAACACUGGUGGUGGUGGGCCGGGAGGCUCAUGCUUGCUGGGAGCCCAAGGCCCAUCAGCUCAGCAGGCAGUGGAGAGACUUGGCAAGAGUUGAAACACCUGUCCCAGAAGCUGUGUGCCAAAUGAAUUUAUUUUUGAUCUAGCGUCUCGCUAUGUAGCUCAGGCUGGCCUUGAACUUGUGGCGAUCCACCUGCCUCAACCUUUUUUAAACUUUUCAUUUUGAAAUUUCAGACUGGUACCGGGGAUUGAACUCAGGACCUUGAACUUGCGAGACAGGAGGCGGAACCACUGAGCUAAAUCUCUGGCCUGAAAUUAUUUCAGACCUACAGAAAAGUUGCAAACACACAGAAAAAGUUUGCAUAUAUCUUUUACUCAGCUUCCCAUAACAUUAACACUUCAUAGAAUUAGAGCAUUAUAAUAAAAUGAGGAACUUAGCCAUCAGUGUGAUAUGCAAUUGUAAUACUUAACAGUAAACUAGUGACUUCGUUUGAAUUUCACCAGUUUCCUCUCUCUUCAUUUUCUGUUCCAGGAUCCCAUCCAGGAUCUUCCAUUUCAUAUAGUUGCAGUUGCAUCUUCUUAAUUUCUUUCAAUCAUAACGUUUCUGCAUUUUAAAGAAGAAAAAAUCUGUUGGUGGUGAUGAUGGUAAAGUACAAGGUAACUCUAAGGACAUAAAAUGAUUUGCUGCCCUUUCUUCCUUCUACCUUUCUUAUUUUCUUUUCCAAGCAAAAUUUAAAUUAGAUUUAUUGCCAUAUGCUAUCACCCAAGUAAGAAAUGUCAUGAUUUUGUUUCAAAGGCUACAACCAUAUUUCAGAAUAGUCAAACACAUUUUUUUUUAGUACCGGGGAUUGAACUUGGGACCUUGUGCUAGAGGCAGGUGGUGGAACCACUGAGCUAAAUCCCUGGCCCUCAAACACAUUUCUUGAAAUACAAAAUGCACAAUUGUAAUAAUCAUACAAUUGAUUUUCUUCCUGUGUGGUGAGUAAUUUAGCCUGGCCCACAAAAAGGUGAGACUUCUGCCUUCAUCUACUGAGAGGUGAUGUCUUAGUCCUUGGAAUGCCAGGCUUGGUCAGAACAGUACUCACUGCGUGAGGACCUUGGGCCACCUUGAAUAAUAUAAAAAUGUGAUAUGAGCCUUCACACUGGGACCUGGACACCCCCUGAAGUAACAGUAGGACACAGGGUGGGGGCUUUUGGUCACAUGAUCAGUCACCUUCAACAGGGCCAGAGCUCAGACAUUAAGCUUAGCCCUUCAGAUGAUCAAAUGCACCUCCAGACACUACUCUAUGCAGACUGUCACUCAACUGUGCUGGGCUAGUCAUGUUGUCCUGGCUCCCCAGAGUGGACAGAGGAUGCUGCAGGUGGUGUUUUUCUCUGAGGUUCAUCUUGGGCUUGAUCUUCUAGCUUUUCUCUUCAAUAAACCAUAGCCAUGAGCACAACAGCUUUCAGGGAGAUCUGUCAAGCAUCAAGCCUUACAUUUUCAGAUAGCCCCAGAAGUGAGGGCAGGGCUGUGCACUGUUCCCUUAAUUUUGCAGUUGAUCUUUUACAAUGACUUUAUUAUUAUUUUUGUUUUUGUUUUUUGUUUUUGGUACCAGGGAUCAAACUCAGGUCCUUGAGCUUGCAAGGCAGGCUGCAAAAUCACUGAGCUAAAUCCCUGGCCCUUUUACAAUGACUUUAAAAUGUGAACCUAAGCCAAGGUUGUAGGAGUCUCUGCGCUUGAAGAUGAAAACCAUUCUUUUACUAAUACAAAUAAGAGAUUGUUGCCAGUGAAGUGUCAUUUUAUAUUUUGUGAGUGCAUUUCAAAUGUAUUUCAACAUUGCAUUUAUAAGACAAGGGAAGAACAGAAUGAUCAGAAGUUACCACACAUGCACUGAGUUAGUAGCAAGCAUCGAAUUUCUUCUACACUAUUGGAGAUCAACUGGUGGUAGAACCACUGCCUUGGGGACCUUGGUGGUAAUCCUUGCUGAUCUUUAGUGACGUUUGCCACAAUGUGGGUGUCUGUCCCCAAAGGCCCAUGUGCAAAGGCAUGGUCCUCAGGGAGCAGUUUUGGCAGGUGCUGUGGACUGGCAUGAUAUGGGGCUGUUGUGAGGUCCUUAGGUCAUUGGGAAUGCCACCCUUGGAGGGGACAGUGGGACUUGGUCUGGACUUGGACUGGACUGUUCCCUGUCUCCAGAUGUGAGUGCUCCCUUCCCUGUGUGUUCCACCAUUGCCACCCGCUGUCUUCAUUGGAGGCUGGAAGCCAUGGGCCACUUGAUCUUGGAUUUGAAUCUCAGAAAUCCAGGCCUAGAUAGCCUGCCUUUUUACCUUGUGAGCUGCAUGGCGAGUGGCAGAUCCCACAUCAGUCUAGGGCCAGGGCUUUGAAAAUGGCUCACAUAUUUUGCCAAAUCCUGAGUUCUUCAGGACUAAAGAACAACUUUAUUGGCUUUUUUCCCCCAGAGAAUCUCUCUUAGUGCCGAACACAUUUAUAUAAUUCCAGUGGAGGCAGAGGGGGUAUAAUGUUUGGCAACAGAGGCAUCUUCACAGGCCCUGCUCCACGGGUCUGCUAGGAACUGGGCGCUAGGCACAGGAGAGAAGUGUUAUAUGGACAUUUGAACUGGCCUAAUAGCUUCAAGUUCCUGGGAAAAGAACUUCCAAUAUUUACUUGAAGUGAGAAAAGGUAAAUUGCAGGGUGAAGGCUUAUAUGGUAUUUUCUGAUAUCAUACACUGCUGUUUUCAGGGCCCCAGGAAAUGGGCUUUCAUGGUGAAUAGAGUUUACACUCUGGCUCUUUUGUGACAUAUUUUUUCACUUAAACAAUUUAUGACAAAAAUGCCAUUGUACACAGAGGAUUGUGUCACUUUAUGUGUGUUUGCCCUCAGUAUUUAAAUCCUUCCAACCAUUAAAAAACACUUUAUUUAUUUAUGUUUGGUACCAGGGGUCUAACUCAGGACCUUGUGAUUGUGAGGCAGGCAGUGGCAUCACUGAGCUGAAAUCCUCAGACCAAAAAACGCUAUUGUCUUUUAGUAUUUCAGGUGUUGGUAAAUGUUUUGGUAGUGGGGAUCGAACUUGGGUCCUUGCACUUGCGAGGAAGGUGGCGGCAUUACUGAGCUAAAUCCCUGGCCCUGCUGUUAGUAAAUGUUUAGUUAUGACUUUUCAAGCAUUUGCUUCUGUACUAGCCAGUUUAUCUACUAGGAUGCUUUUUUUUUUUUUUUUUGUGGUACUGGGGAUCCAACUCAGGACCUUGCACUUAUGGGGCAUGCAGUGGCACCACUAAGCUAAAUCCAUGGACUAGGAUACUUUUAAAAUUAAAUUUUUUGGGCUGGGGAUUUAAGUGAGUUGUUUUUAAUUCAUAACACAAGUUAUCAGAGAGUAUUUUCUUAAAUUUUUCUGAAUAACAUUUUCAGAAGUGCUUACAAUGAUAAAAAUGUAAAAUAUUGAGUUGGAAAGUUGUGUUUUCUGAUGCUGUGACAGACCAAAGAUAAACAACUUAUUUUGGCUCACAGUUUCAGAGGCUUCAGUCCAUGGAGGGUGGGAUCCAUGGCUCUCAGGCCUGUGGCUUCACAGAACAUCACAGCAGGGAAAUGAAAGGAGAGAAAGGAGCUGGGGGUCCUCGCAUCUCUGUCAAGGACACCCCCCCAACACGACCUAACUUCUCUUCAUCAAGCCUCACUUCAUAAAGGUCCUGCCACCUUCCGCUACGGCCACAGGAUGGGGCUGAGCCUUUAACAUGGGGUCUAACAAAAAUACUCUACAUUUAAAAAUGCUUACUAAGGCUGGGCAUGGUGGCGCACGCCUGUCAUCCCAGCACUCGGGAUGCUGAGGCAGGAGGAUUGCUGUGCGUUUGAGACCAGCAUGAACUACAUAGUUUGAGAUCAGUCUCAAAUACAUAGUGAGACCCUGUCUCAAAACAAACAAACAAAAUGCUUACUAAUAAAAUUAGAGGUACAGUAUUUUCUGUAAUCUUUCUGCAACUAAAGGAGAAGUUGCUAUUCCAGCAUCAGGACCAUGUUCCUGUUCAUAUGCCUGGAGGUCUCCUCGGGCAGGUGCUGCCAGAGCACAGGCCUGGAGACUUUGGUGAAGUGGCACUGUCAUGCAGCUACUCCCAUCUAAACUGAGUCACAGAGCCCCAGUGCUUUUGUGGGACAUUGUGGUGUCUCUGUGGGAGGUGCUGUUGGUGCUAUCUCGUGUCGCCUGGCCUCAAGCAUUGCUGUACAAUUCCCUGUACAUGGAAGGCAUGUGAUUUCAACAUCUGAUUUCUUCGCUUGAGGGAUUUUUUUGGUCCAUGAAUUUGCUUGGCUCUCUGAGUGUGGCCAUUCUCAGGGGCAGGGAUAGAAUUUUUCCACGGGUUGCCCUCAGCCAAGACAAUCAGGGCCUGUGGAGUAUGAUUCCUGCGAGCUGCUCUUCCUGGAGACUUUUUAUCUGUACUGUGCAUCCUCUCAGAGGGUCCCAAAGGAGUCGCACCCAGCCUGCCUCCCGGGAUUUUAUACACUGCCAGUUGGCACCCUCCCUUCCCUGAUAGUGUCCCCAGGACUUGUCUUGGGGUCCACCCAACAGAGGAUGUCAGGAACCAGGAAACACCAUAGCCUGCCACUGAGGUUACAGAGUUGACAAGUUCCCAGCCACACAGGGAUGGGGCAUUAAAGGAAAUCUUUGAGCACCAACAAGAAGGGACCUGUCAUGUAAAGGUACAAGAUACCAAUAAUGAAUGUAAUUGUACUGUAUACCUAAAAUGUACCAAUAAGCUCAAUAAAAGAAGAAAAAAGGGAUUUGUAAAUCUUUUUUUAAAAAGGGGAUUUCUAAAUCUGAUAGGCCAAGGAUAUAGAUGCAACACACACACACACACACACACACACACACA
ensembl:lincRNA